GACUGCCGCCCCCACCCCCACUAAUCGUAUGCGCAUGCAUACAGUUGGAAAGGCUGUAACUAACCCGUUUUUGCGGCUACCAGGGUGAGAAAAAGCACAGUGGAAAAAGCUGAACGAGCUUUUAUGGGCUGUAUCCUGCUUUUUUUGUUUGUUUUGGUUUUUUGUUUGUUUUUUGUUGUUGUUGUUGUUUUUGUUGGGUUUUUUUGUUUUGUUUUGUUUUUUUUUUAAAGAUAGAAGCACUUCAAAAAGCGUUUAGAAAAUGGAUGAGGCAGGUGAACAUCAAAGGCGAAGACUUGCCAAGGGGACAGUCCUGUUGCAGGGCAGAAAGUACCCACAGUCAUAAGUACUGCUAAACAUGACAGCUCCACAUGACAGCUUCCUCUCAGCAUGUGCUGAGUGGAUGUGCCAGACUCAGACAACGGACAGGUACUGGCCAAACACAAUAUUCCUACUUCCUAAAGCCUGCCAACACAAGACCACUGAGUCAUGGUCUUGUACAGGACAGAUAGGUAGCAGGGGCAGAAGGAGGGGCAUUGAAGAAGACAUUGACAUUUCAUUUUCUACUCUUUUCUAGUCCACUUUUACUCUCAAGUAUUUAAUAUCCUUCCUCCCCUUUCUCUUAUGUCAUCUGUCUGUUGGAAGAGUGAUUGGGCAUUGGAAUAGGCUGCCCUGGGAAGUGGUGGAAUCAACCGUCUCUGGUGACCCACCCCUGAAGGUGUUUAAGAAAAGACUGGGUGUGGCACUUAGUGCCCUGGUGUGGUUGACAAGGUGGUCAGAGGUUGAACUCAAUCAUCUCAAAGGUCCUUCCCAACCUAUUUUGUUCUGUGAUUCUGUGGUUUCACAGUAAAUCAGGAAAGUACUGUUCUUCUCAAAAGGCUGUAGAGGUCAUUAGGGAGCUUUGCAAAAGCCUUUGGUGUGGUUUGUUGUGUAAAUCUGAUGCCAGACAGCAUGAGCCCAAGCAGCAUGUGGAUUGCUGCAGUAGAGUAGGCAAGGGGCAGUGGGAUUUCCAUGGGUAAUUGCAUUUUCAUUCUGUAAGCCAAGAGGAUACUAAUAUAUCCCAAUUUUAAAAAGCAGGCACUUCAGAGACCUUACUUCCAUCAUUAUGCAAGAAAGCUGCUUGUGGAUUGAUGCCUUUGUUUAAGGACUAGAUUGCCUCCAAUCUCAGGAGUGGGGCUGCUGAGGGCAAAGGGACCUGGCAGCAGUAUUCAGCACACUUGUGUCCCAUUCCCGAAAAGGAAUUCUGUUCCACUGAUUAAUGUGCAUUGAAGUCUUUACAGGCUUGACUGGCCAGAAGGACUCCCUCCUAUAUGAGACUGACAGACAGAUGUGAAGAGGACCAGCCUGAACCCUUUGUCUUGAUGGAUGCUCAAUUUGUUAGGUCCUAUUGCUGGUCACCAGGGAGAGAUCAACACUUCCCCCUCGGCUGUCUCCCUUGAGGAAGGUGUAGACUGAGAUGGUGUCACCCCUCAGCUUUCUCCUCACCAGAGAACUCUUCUCCUCUCAGGAUACACAAACCACAGGAUUCCGAUGACUCACACCGAAAGAGCUUUCAAACACACGGAGGACGGAAGGGCACGCUGUUUCUACAUUAAGCUUCCUGCCAAAGCCCCAGACUAAGCAUACAUGAAUAUAUUUGGACAAAGUUUUAGCAACAUUGUGUUCCUGUGUCUGCAGAAAUCUGUGAGAAUGUGUCACAUUAGUAUUCUCACCUGCUGGAAGUAAUUUGAAAAAAUUACCCAACUGGCACCUUCAUGAACUAUUACACUAGAUACAAAGAACAGGUCUAGAGACCCUCCCUGUGUAUCGUUGCAAACUAUUUGUCUUCUGAUGCAUGCUUUUUCAGCUCAAAGGGAAAAGUAAUCCUGAAGUAAAUAAAUGAAGCUCAUUGUUAGAGUAUACACAUCUCUACACAUGCAAAUAAUUGCUAAAAUUAACAAUAUUUGCUAAGUCACAAAAGAGCUGUCUUUCAUGUAAUUAUCUUACAAACAUCUUCAGAGACUCUGUCUUAUUUUUUUCCUCUAAAUGCAUUGCAUUAAUUCAAAUAUUUGGAUGUUGGCAAUGAAUGAAACUUCCCCAAACUUAAAGGGUAUUUUUUAGGAAGACAAAAUUACUGAUUCAGAUGAAUUUUGGAAAAAUAGGUAAGCUCAAGACUCAGACAACACUUGCACAACUGACUUUCCAAAUAUUCUGGUAGAACAAGAAAAUAAAAGAUAUUAAAAUUAGACUAGCCAAAUAUCCAUAAUAACAAUGUGUUUCCAUCACUUGAAAUUUGGCUGAUCACCUGACUGUAUGCCUCUGACUGACAAACUUCCUAAUUAGUUACAAGUGUUCUCAGAAUAAGUGCUGACAUGCAGCUUCCUUUUCCAUGCAUAGAUGGGCCCAUGGGCAAUAUUAAGUGAUCACUUACAAGGAAAUAGUCCGUGCAUUUCAGAACACAGGUAGUUUCAGAAGCAUUACAGAUUAAUUUGAGGUCUACUCUUGUCCCUCACUCUAAGACUCAGAGAAUGACAGUAUAAUUCAGGCACAAAGGAAACCAAGGACAAUGCCAAAACAUAUUCUGCUAAUUCACAUAGUUUAUACUUAGAGAUGGUCUAGCUUCUUGUGUUUUGUUGUGGGUUUUUUUUUAUUAUUUUAUAAAUACACCUCAGAGCAAUAGACAUAGAAAUAUGCUGGACGUUUUGACAGCAAAACAAAACCAAAAGUUGGCAAAAUUUAUUAAAAGGCAUUAUCUCUGAGAUGAAAACAAACAUCUGUCUUUCUUGGCAAUUUGUGCUGAGACUUAUUCUCAUUGCAGAAGUCUACUCAAAUGUUAACUAUUUAUAACCACUGUGUUCCCUCUAGAAAAUGCAGGUUUAAGAAACUCUUGGGGAUUAAUAGGUGCUUUGAUUAGCCCAAAACCAAAACAACAGCAUCAGGAGCUCUGCUAAUCUGUAUCAGAUUCCAUUCUGGACUGCACAGUGCUUUACACUAUCUCACUCACUCUUGUGAUAUAGCUUGUAAUCAGACAAGGUGAUAUCUUCAAGGAAUAUUUUUAAACCUGACCAUUUCCAGGAUGCAGCAUGGCAGCCUCGGACUCAAACUGUGCCUUUUCCUUACAAAAUCAAGAUUUACUAAUAAUUGAGGAUGAAUGGGCUCACUAAGAAAGGAGUUUAUUUAUUCAAAAAGCAAACAUAAAGAAUCCCACAGUCUGGUAAUUGGCUCAUCGUACUCAGCACCAGGCUUUCCACAUUCCCUAUCCCUCUGAUUAGACAUUAUUUCUCCCUCAGUAUUUGCACCUUGUAUUUAAAGCUGCCUCACCUUCUUCUAACCAAUUUCCUCAUCAAUCUCCAUCACUCCUUUGAAAAUAUGGUGUCUCAUGCCAGCAUGGAGAGGGGCAGGAGAUGGAGAUGUGGUGGGAGUUGUUCAUCCAGGUGUAGUUUCCAAUGUCUAUGUGCCUGUUGCUGGUACAGUGAUGGGUGUGCUGCCUUGUGGCCAAGAGUCACAGACAUUCCCGCUUAGCAUCCAAUUCACAGUGCACCCAAGAUUUUUAAAUUGAGCUUUGUUGAAUUUGUAAGGGUAUCCUGCUUGAAAUCAACUCCCAGAAAUUGGUCUUCUGUCUAAGAGUCUGGUGUAAAUGACAGUCAUUAUAAUUAGCAGCCCAAAUAACCACUUCCCUCACUAACCAUCCACUGAAAAGCAUAUUUAUGAAACACCUGCCUGUUUCUAGCUACUGAAAUAUAUGCAGUGUUCUUCCCACCACUGUGGAUUCUCAGAAGGGUUGUUCAUUGGUACUACUACACAAAGGGUGUGUCUUCUCAAAUAUUUGUGUUUGUGUUUGUGGGGGGAAAAAAAAGCAUAUGUUGAGCUGAGUUCAGCUCUCUGCUGGCAACUGGCUUUUCUGGGUGAAACUCAGAGCUGAAUAUAGACCUGGACAGAUGCAAAGACAGUCAAGAACAAGUCAAGACAUGACAGAAAUACACAAAAUUUCUGUGACUGGGACGCUUGUGUGAACAGACAAGUACAGCAGGAAGGAAAGUCAAGAAAGCAUUAGCUAGCUAGCUCUCACGCUCAAUAGAAAGCAUAACAUGGCCUAUUCAAAUUUAAUUCAUUCAGACAAAUGCAUUGUUGCACUCAGUGUAUCUCAUGUGUGUAAUUUCUAUUGCUUUAGGAAGCAAUAUUGUUCAUGCUUUCUUCCUCUUCCUAUGUUUUGGAUUUACAGCCUAUUUUGGAUUUAAAGAGGGUCCUGGGAUUUUUCUUCCUGUUACUCACCAUAACUAAAUAGUGUUUAUGUACUUCUGAGAUGAAAGCUUUCCAAAUGAUUUUUUCUUUUCAUUAUUAAUCAUUAGUUAUUUUGCUUUUUUUCUUUCAUGACUCAGUCCUUUCUUUUCAGACAUCUUGUUGCUCCUUCCUAACUUGCAUGAUAGGCUAAACUUUCACAACAAAACCUUUGGCACUUGCUCUUUAUAGCUUGUUUUGUUUUAUCCUCCCUGUGCCAAUGCCUUCUCCUUGGCCCAUAAAAUCAGUUUUGUCAGCCUGUAGAUUCUACCCAUAAGCACCUCUGAUCUCUGACUUAGUCUCUGUUCCAGACAGAAAUUUUGUUUUCUUUUUCACCUUCUGAAAUGUCUGACAUAUUUCUCAACUGCUGUUAG